GUCGCUGAGAAAUAAGAGCGAAAACUAAACGUCAUCGUUGCCGCCAAAAAGGUCCGCACGAGAAAAAUUUUCACCAUCGUGGCCAUCUUUCGCGUCGAGUUUAAAAGUACAGACGGCUUGAAGUUUAAGUGUUACAAAUUUGUUUGUAAAUCCGAUUUUAAUUCCUGAAUUAGAUUUUGUUGGUUGUGCGCGGGAUCUAUGCACUUGAAAAGUUGUAGACGCUAGUGAUAGAUCGCCGAUUUCUGUCGAUCAGAUCGCAGAACUAAUAUUACGGGAAUUCUUUUUAAAGCUGAUUAGAAUCAGUUGUCAGUCAGGGAAGAGUUGGUGCGUAUAGGGUCACUGAUUU